AGAGUUUGAUCCUGGCUCAGAUUGAACGCUGGCGGCAUGCCUUACACAUGCAAGUCGAACGGCAGCGCGGGGCAACCUGGCGGCGAGUGGCGAACGGGUGAGUAAUAUAUCGGAACGUACCCUGGAGUGGGGGAUAACGUAGCGAAAGUUACGCUAAUACCGCAUACGAUCUAAGGAUGAAAGUGGGGGAUCGCAAGACCUCAUGCUCCUGGAGCGGCCGAUAUCUGAUUAGCUAGUUGGUGGGGUAAAGGCCUACCAGGGCAUCGAUCAGUAGCUGGUCUGAGAGGACGACCAGCCACACUGGAACUGAGACACGGUCCAGACUCCUACGGGAGGCAGCAGUGGGGAAUUUUGGACAAUGGGCGAAAGCCUGAUCCAGCAAUGCCGCGUGAGUGAAGAAGGCCUUCGGGUUGUAAAGCUCUUUUGUCAGGGAAGAAACGGUGAGAGCUAAUAUCUCUUGCUAAUGACGGUACCUGAAGAAUAAGCACCGGCUAACUUCGUGCCAGCAGCCGCGGUAAU
rnacentral:rRNA from 1 species